CCGGGUGGACCGCCGAAUCCUGCCGCCGUCCGGAAACCGCACCCACACUUCACGUACGGCAGGAGCGGGGGAACCAGGUAAGUCGCCGAACCGGAAUCCGGAACGGCUCGGGGUUAAGUCGCAUUCACCUGCGGCCGGGCAUCUCCAGCCCGAACCCGACAGCUCACCUCGCAGGCGACGGAGAGGAAUU
rnacentral:sRNA from 2 species